AGAGAGAUAGAGAGUCUUACCUGCUCAGGACUUUCCUCAUCAGCAGUGGCACAAUUACAAAAGGAUAACAAAGGCAGCAGAAAAGGCAAGGAACUGGAAGAAGCUUGUUCAAAUGGACUGCCACUGCAUAAUUUCAGCCAGGGUUGAAUUACCGAGGAGUCGCAAUGUAACGUGUGAUUUGUGCUGACAGGAAGAGCUGCUCAGAGCUGGCAGAGCUUUUAUUGUGGCUUGGGACUCCAUCCCAUAGUGAUAC
rnacentral:lncRNA from 1 species